CUGGAGUAUUGCUAAAAACGGCGUAAAACAGAACUCAGUCAGUCAGUCCAAUGAUAAUACUAAUGCUUAUGGUGUUUUCUUCAAAUGUCUGUUAACAUUUUGCACCCGAUUGAUUACACGGACAUUAAUGCUUACCAACACUGGUUUUUUUUAGAUUUCAGACAAAAUGAAGACUUGCCUGCUUGUGAUGACUGUAUUGAUCGCCGCCAUGACACUGUCUAGUGUCCAAGCUGGUGUAGUGUUCAACACCGGGUGUCAAUCAGGACCGUGUCCCCCCGACCAAGUCUGUCGCGGAGGAAGGUGUCUACCAGCCUGUAGUAACAACAAUCAGUGUGCCAGAUUCAACAAAAUGUGCAGCAAUGGCGCAUGUGUUUGAGAUUUCAACCUCAUCCAGUUCGCUGUGUCCCGUGAAGUUCAUGCAAUAGAGGAAAUGUUUGAGAGUUAU